GUGUCAGCCGCCGCGGUAAAACGUAGGUGGCGAGCGUUAUCCGGAUUUACUGGGCGUAAAACGCGUGCAGGCGGUCUGGUAAGUCGGGCGUGAAAUCUCUCGGCUCAACCGAGAGAGGUCGUCCGAUACUACCGGACUUGAGGGCAGUAGAGGAAGGUGGAAUUCCCGGUGUAGUGGUGAAAUGCGUAGAUAUCGGGAGGAACACCAGUGGCGAAGGCGGCCUUCUGGGCUGCCCCUGACGCUCAGACGCGAAAGCUAGGGGAGCGAACGGGAUUAGAUACCCUCGUAGUCC
rnacentral:rRNA from 1 species